GAAAGGCAAAACAGAUGAAAGUCUGUGACGCAAAACUAUAGGGUCUACGUUUUUAAAUAUGACAGCCAGUUGCA
rnacentral:ncRNA from 1 species